UCUUGGAGUAGAAUAAUAUUAAAGCACAUUUAUCUCCAUUUCAGACCUUAACUGAGACUUUGUUUCAACAAAUUUAAUCUGUUAAGAAAGUUUAAAGUUUAGAACUAGAGAUUGAAAUUGAAGAAAAAUAAAUGUUAUAAAUUGCUUUGAUUUUAUUUCAUAUUCUGAUUUUUUUCAUUAGGUAAAGUGAUGUAUAACCUGCAAGAAGUCAGAUCCACUUAAACCAGCACAGAAACCUGAACUGCAGCAAAUAAAGGUGUUAAAUCCUUUUGAACUGAUUAGAGUUGACCUGAUAGGGUCUUUCACAACUAGUCAAGGGUCUUUACAUCUUCACUGCAACAGACUAUUACACAAAGUGGGUUGAGGCAUUUCUUAAUCCAUCAAAGCAGGCCUCAGAUGUUGUUAAAUGCUUCCAAAAGCUUUUCCUAGAUGUGAUGCUGUGAAUGCUGUCCUCACGGACCAGGGAAAAGAAUUUGUAAACAGUAUUAUAAAUGCAUUCCUGCGGAUGAUUAAGGUGCGAGUCAUUACAUCAGAGAGCCCCAUCUUCUUGCUCCAUUCUUACACAGCAUUGUGGGAUGCUAGUGACAUAGACCACUGGCUAUUUAAAAAGGUGCAGUUUAGAAAGUACAGAUACAUUGUAAAUGCCUGUAGAUGUCAGCAACAAUCAUUUGGUACUUUAAGUAGCAAGUGUGAGAGACAGAACCAUAACGGUUUCCAUGAAUGGAAGUAAUGGAGACAUGUCCAUUGACCUGUGGAGGUAUACGUAAAUUAUGACAGUUUGGCAACAAACAACCAAACCUAUGUCAUUCCUGUAUGCUUCAAUAAACUGUAUCAGAUUCCAUAUUGAAAAUGACAGCCUGCUGGCGGCAAGUGAUUCUGCCUUUGCGACCAUUGCAGACCAAGAUGCUUAGGCUGAUCUUCAGAUAGUAAAUUUCCAGUGAACACCCCUUCGAAUAAUAAAUGGUAUUGUCCUAAUUGAAUGAUGGACCAGUCCAAUUUAGAAAUUUAGCAGGACAGCACAUGCAGAUCAGAGAUUCACACACUGAAAGAGAUGAAGAACUUUAGCCAUGGACUGCAGUACACACUGAUGGGAACAGACAGGCAGUUGGCUCCUGUGGAAUAUUUGUCCUUACGGAUUAUCUGACAUACUUUUUGACUGGAGACAGAAAUAGUGACUGUAAAGAGACAUUCUGUAUCCAUGGUGACAGUGGUCAGAUUCAGCUGCAGAUCUCUCCUUAACAACGUGCGGAGUGAAUGUUAAUGAUAAUGGUUACCACACCAAUAAUAUUGCAGCAGUCAGUGUUAACAUCUUUAUCACAUGUGACCUUGCUAUGCCUGUGUUUACCAGUAACGCAUGAUGGUGACGAUCGAGGAUGAAGAAAUCAAUAACAGUAUCAUCAAGGUUACUGCUAUACGACACAGACAUAUUGUGAGCUGUAAUACAGGACUUACACCUGAUGUCCAUACUGUCAAAUAUGCAGAAAUAAGCACGAAAUGGAGACAACAAUGCCAAGAUAAAUCAGUAUUACCAGCCACAAGCACUGACACUUGAAUACCAAAAAAAUACUGGCUGAAUAACGAACAGUGCAGAUCAUGAUCAGACUGCACGGAAGGCAGAAUCAGUCGUGUCCAUGAUGAUGAGAAUCAGGAGCCUGAUGUGUUGGUUGAUGUUGAUAUAGAUGAGGAAGAGAUUGAUGAUCACCAGGACCCACAAAUGAUCUGUCAGAUCUUGUCCGAAGCUGACCUGGACAUUAAUGAUACAACUAUGAUUCAGAUAGGCAGACCAUAUUGAUGAUGCAGAGGAGACUCAGAUAGUGCCUGGUAUCCUGAUGAUAAUCGUAAAGAUGGAAAUGAUGAUGAUGAUGAUGAUGAUGAUGAAGAAAAUGACAAUGAUGAUCAUGAUGAUCAUGAUAAUGAAGAAGAAGAUGAUUAGACACUAAACCAGCUGGCAAAAACAGAAUAUGGCCAGUGAGAUAAAGCAGGAAGGAAAGAGCAGCUCACCAGUAACUGAUGUCAUAAAAAAUUAGCUUCUGAGUUGGGGAUCAGAUAUAGAAGCGAAUAGCUUUGAUUUCCAGCCAGAGAGUGGUUUCUUUGGUCAGACAUUUAACAAUUAUUUUGUCGUCCAUGCUGACGAAAUGUUUGAAGGUUGCUGAGCCCACAAGCAGCAGAAGUACUACAGCAUACAGACAGUAUGAACACCACGGCAGGCGCGCACACACAAGACAAGGUUGGUCCUCUCUAACAAUGAUUUGAGAAUCAUCUCGAGACAGGAGGAUGAUAUCUUUGAGGAGU